rnacentral:rRNA from 1 species
AGCGAACGCUGGCGGCAGGCUUAACACAUGCAAGUCGAACGGGCACUUCGGUGCUAGUGGCAGACGGGUGAGUAACGCGUGGGAACGUGCCUUUCGGUUCGGAAUAAUCCAGGGAAACUUGGACUAAUACCGGAUACGCCCUUCGGGGGAAAGAUUUAUCGCCGAAAGAUCGGCCCGCGUCUGAUUAGCUAGUUGGUGAGGUAAAGGCUCACCAAGGCGACGAUCAGUAGCUGGUCUGAGAGGAUGAUCAGCCACACUGGGACUGAGACACGGCCCAGACUCCUACGGGAGGCAGCAGUGGGGAAUAUUGGACAAUGGGCGAAAGCCUGAUCCAGCCAUGCCGCGUGAGUGAUGAAGGCCUUAGGGUUGUAAAGCUCUUUUGUCCGGGCAGAUAAUGACUGUACCGGAAGAAUAAGCCCCGGCUAACUUCGUGCCAGCCGCCGCGGUAACAC